rnacentral:rRNA from 1 species
AUACGUAGGGGGCGAGCGUUGUCCGGAAUGAUUGGGCGUAAAGGGCGCGUAGGCGGCCCGGUAAGUCUGGAGUGAAAGUCCUGUUUUUAAGAUGGGAAUUGCUUUGGAUACUGUCGGGCUUGAGUGCAGGAGAGGUAAGUGGAAUUCCCAGUGUAGCGGUGAAAUGCGUAGAGAUUGGGAGGAACACCAGUGGCGAAGGCGACUUACUGGACUGUACCUGGCGCUGAGGCGCGAAAGUGUGGAGAGCAAACAGGAUUAGAUCCCCUGGUAGCCCACACUGUAAACGAUGAAUGCUAGUUGUAGGGGGUAUCGACCCCUUCUGUGCCGCAGUCAACACAAUAAGCAUUCCGCCUGGGGAGUACGGCCGCAAGGUUGAAACUCAAAUGAAUUGGCAUGG